rnacentral:misc_RNA from 1 species
GUGAAUCCCGUCGAAGGAAUGGUAUGUGUACAUAUCUUAGGUGUUCAUAUGGUUGAAGUUGUCCUUAAGCUAACUUGGUUUUACAUUCGUGUUUACUGAAUUAUUUUAAGUUUGGAAUACAUGAGUAUGACCUGCUACUACAUGUCCAUGCUAUCUGUGACUUCUCUUGCCAGUUAUUUUUUUAACAUUUACUUCUGUAUG